CUGCAGGCUCAUCAUCGGUCCAGCUGGAGGAAACGCUUUUAAUGAUGCAUGGUCAUAGAAGAGUGAGAAACCGAUCGAUUGUGAGUCGUCGCUGACUAAACUUUCUCCUUCUUCUUCAAAGAUCCAGGAGCUCAAUAAAAACCUGGAUCUGUGUGUGACGUCAACAGCCUCUGAGCCAGAGAUCAACAAUGAAGCUUUGAACCUUUAAGGCCCAAACUCCAAGUCCUUGUAGACACAGCUAACACCUGGGCUUACUGUAUGUGUAUGCGUCAGGGUAGAGCGCUUACAUAAAGCACUUCAAACUCUUCAGAGAGAGAGAGGAGUCAAACGCUAACACGCGCUCUCUGGGGAAGAAUGAUGCACAAAGUGAGUUAAAGAGAGAAAACACAGAUGACAGAGAGCUUCACAGACGCAGAGAUCUGAAGACGUGGAGGCGAAGAAGGAGAGGAUGAGGGAAGAAAGAUGCAAUGAGAGGAUGCAAGGAAGACAAAGACGCAAGUGAAAAGACUGAAUAAAUGAUUCAGAAUAAAGAUGAAAGAACAGCGGGAGGAGGGGAAGAGAAGGUCAGGGAACGGCCAAAUGAGCAGAAACAGCAGCUGACAGGUGAAGACGGACGAUCAAUGCCACAGAUCACAGAGGCAGGUGGACAGGACCUGCACUGACUCAUCUGUGCCUUCGUGUGUGUUGAAGCGAGGACGGGCCGCUUCCCAUCCUACGUCUCAUCUCUGCCUUUCUCUGGGGAUGUGGCAAAUCAAGUGCGGCCCAGAAAACGGAAGUUUGUCAUCAUUAAACUUCUUGAGUUUACAAAGAAAAGCUCACAAACAUUCACAACACAAGAUUAAUGACCCAGAGAAGCUGGAAGCCAUUACAGAGGGCUCACCUGACGACAAAGGGACUGGUCAGAUCAGCUGAAGAUCAGGCGAGGUCAUGUCAUGGGUUGUCAUGGAAACAGCCGGAUCAGUUUUUGCCCAUUAUCGUGUCUGAUUUAGAUUGCAUACGGUGGUUUGGCCUAAAUUUACGCUGCGGUCUCAACACCACGUCUCCACCAACCAGCUUCUGAGAACUGCUUCAGUGAGAGGAUGAGCACUCACACACUGUGGUCGGGCCAAACCACUGAGGUGGGCGUUCAGAUGGUGACUGGACCAAGGCUGCACUGGAAAAACCAAGACCUUUGACUCAACUGCUGCUGUCAUGCAAAACUAAGUUUAUGAGGAGAAACGUGACUUGGUCCCACUUAUGUGAAAAAUGUUGAGUAAAUGAUGAAAGUCUUUAGAUCAGGGUCGGCCAGCGCACAACAAACCUGAAUAAUAAUAACAUCAUGUUCACGUUCACGAACUGAAAGAUCUGGAGGAACCUCUCAUCUGUUAAUCCAUGGUUUAAAGUGGUUUCCUGCUGUUUUAGGUUUGUGCUAUGAUCCAUUCUUUUCAUUCUGUCGCAGAUUCUACUGUCCAUUAUUUUUCGGUGGGUCUCCUUCCAUAACUGUGUUAGAUGACGCAGCUGUUCUCACCAUCAUACGUUAUCUGUCCUGGCGAUAUAGAAACUUUACCGGUGGGUGCGAGUACAACCAACUGAACUCAGCUGUCAAACAUCACGUGAGGUUUUAUGAGCUGCAGUUUCUAAGACCAGAAAGUUCUCGCCUGCUAAAUCACUCUUUAAAUCAUCACCACCAGCAUUUUCAGUGUUCAGUUUCUU
rnacentral:lncRNA from 1 species